UCAAAUCAGGACACUGGUACAUUUUUUUCUUUCAGUUACAAAUGGAAUGCUUCGACUAACUUUCGGGUAGGAAAAACAUGGCAGAAUCGAGUACAAAAAUUCAUGACACCAGGUCAUCGAAGCGGUCAACGUCCCCAAAUCCUAGUCACCUCUCAUUGAAAAGUGACCAGUCAAAGGAAUGGAUAGUGCAUUUUCAAUCAGAGGGGUGUAAUAAAAGGCUCUGUACAAGACAUGUGCCGACACCAAGAGGACAGACAGGAAGAGCAGGCUCACCAGAGGCCUACAACUCACUAGGGCAUAAUUCACCCGGAUCACCC